rnacentral:rRNA from 1 species
GUGGGGAAUUUUGGACAAUGGGCGAAAGCCUGAUCCAGCAAUGCCGCGUGCAGGAUGAAGGCCUUCGGGUUGUAAACUGCUUUUGUACGGAACGAAAAAGCUUCUCCUAAUACGAGAGGCCCAUGACGGUACCGUAAGAAUAAGCACCGGCUAACUACGUGCUAGCAGCCGCGGUAAUACGUAGGGUGCGAGCGUUAAUCGGAAUUACUGGGCGUAAAGCGUGCGCAGGCGGUUAUGUAAGACAGAUGUGAAAUCCCCGGGCUCAACCUGGGAACUGCAUUGGUGACUGCAUGGCUAGAGUACGGUAGAGGGGGAUGGAAUUCCGCGUGUAGCAGUGAAAUGCGUAGAUAUGCGGAGGAACACCGAUGGCGAAGGCAAUCCCCUGGACCUGUACUGACGCUCAUGCACGAAAGCGUGGGGAGCAAACAGGAUUAGAAACCCGAGUAGUCC